rnacentral:lncRNA from 1 species
UGCUGAGACUUUAACGAGAACAUAAAUUGGACUUAGUAAGGUUUUGGAGAGCAAGAGUUUUUGUUACCACUGGCCCUGUUCACAGAGAUAAACCACCAUGUCUUUUAGAGUAUGUUUGUUGGUUUGAGCACUUAUAUUAUCUUGGAUACUUCAGAACUGGCCUGAUGCCUACAAAGGAUUCACACAUUUAGUUUACCUAGCAGAUUUUUUAAACGUUCCUCUCAAGUUACUUUUUAAGCUGCUUUUAAAUCUCCAGGGAAAGCUGGUCUCUGUAUUUUGAAAUAAUGUUGCAAAUUUUAUUUGUAGUUACAGAAGACAAAAAGUACUCAAUUUCCUCUCUCCCAUGUAUUACUGUGACUUUUGAACAGGAAAACAAACUUACAAGUAGACAAGAAUAGACAUCUCAAGUAGUUUAGAUAUUGCUUUAAAUAGAUCUCUGGACUCAGAAAAUAUAUUAAACUCUGUAGAACAUUUGAAGAUAGCUUUUGGGAAAUUAUGGAGACAGGUAUAUUCCAGAAUGAGACUACAGAGUCUGUUAAAUACUGGAAUGGUUAUAAUUGAUGUUUUUUGAGCAUCUGUAGAAAAAAUUAGUGAUCCCCGAAUAAAUGUCUUUUCUUGGAACAAGUAAUGCAAACAGACUUUCACUUGUUUUGAUAUGUUUUAGACUAUAGAUAAGGGGGAUGGUGUAGAAGACAAUUUCAUCAGGGCAUAUGCUAAUCACUUGGCGUCAAGAUGAGAAAAAUACUUUUUGGGCAGUUAUAUCUAUGUGUAUAGUUUUGUGUCUGCUUAGGUUUUGGAGAUACUUAUCCAUCAACCAACCAUCCAGCCACCUCACGUUAAAUAAUUUUGCGUAGGUGUCAGACCAUUCUAACCUAGCAAUAUGAGCGUGAAGAGAAGGGACACAUUUGUCCAAAGCUGUACAUUUCUAAUAAUGUAAAGCCUAAUGGAGAAGUUCUAUGAAGAAAAACAGAGCAAGAUGAGAGUGAGAGUGGGGUGUUAAUUUAUGCAGGAUGGUCAAAGGAGAUCUCAUAAGAUUGACCUUGAGUGUACUGUGUGCUUCACUUAAUCUCUGGUGACUAGCUUUAAACCAGUGAAUGAGUGAAAAUACAGCAGUCAAAAUCAUUUGAAAAAUUAUGUUAAGAUCUUCACUGUUACAGAGCAUUGUUUCUGGUUUUCAAAUUGUAAAAUUGAAUAAAGUAUUUGUUUUAUUUAGACAUGGAACUUUUAACUGCAAAGUUCUAUUUUGAAUAAGGCCUGAUUCUCCAUCUUGAGUUGUUGGGGAGUGUCACAUAGAAAAGAAUCAGUUAUAACUACAGGAAGGAGGACAGUUUGUUGACAGACUUGAAGGUUUUAAUUCAUACCCGAAGGAAAGAAUUGAGGUUAACAUUCCUGAUGUUUUGCACUGUGGCCAGACAAUAAAUCAGGCAGGAAAUUGAAAAAGUAAAGUAUGUUCAGAGGAGGUUGAAAAGGGGCUGUAAGAAUCCUGAAAACGAGAGCUGGAAAGUGUGUCAAAGUUACAUCUGGAGCAGACUCAGUGGAAGCAGGAGUAAAAAAAUCUAAGACAAGGCAAAUUCUACUGUUUAAAUACCCACUGUGUUACUUGCAGAAGAAAAAUAAUAAUUGAGAUGGGGUUACAAUGAAAUGUCAGAUGUGCUGAAACACAGGACAUAGACAUAUUCCUUUGGUUAAAGGGAAGAGGACUAUUUUGUGCUAAGUAGAGCAGGGAAGCAUUAUUGCAGUUAAUUGACCUCAUGGUCUGUGCCAGAGCACCAGGACCUACCCUGAGUUUGUACAACCUUAAGAGUAGUGUGUCAAGUUUUGUGCCCUGGGCCUCCCUUGCUUCAGUUUAAUCCCAGCACUUACGGGGCUCAGAGGGCUUAGGAGUUUCUUCCUUGAACAUCAAUUGCCUUUUCCCUCCCAACUGUCUUGCCUUUCCAU